AUUGAACGCUGGCGGCAGGCUUAACACAUGCAAGUCGAGCGGAGUGAUGGUGCUUGCACUAUCACUUAGCGGCGGACGGGUGAGUAAUGCUUAGGAAUCUGCCUAUUAGUGGGGGACAACAUCUCGAAAGGGAUGCUAAUACCGCAUACGUCCUACGGGAGAAAGCAGGGGAUCACUUGUGACCUUGCGCUAAUAGAUGAGCCUAGGUCGGUUUAGCUAGUUGGUGGGGUAAAGGCCUACCAAGGCGACGAUCUGUAACGGGUCUGAGAGGAUGGUCCGCCACACUGGGACUGAGACACGGCCCAGACUCCUUCGGGAGGCAGCAGUGGGGAAUAUUGGACAAUGGGGGGAACCCUGAUCCAGCCACGCCGCGUGUGUGAAGAAGGCCUUAUGGUUGUAAAGCACUUUAAGCGAGGAGGAGGCUCUUUUGGUUAACACCCAGAAUGAGUGGACGUUACUCGCAGAAUAAGCACCGGCUAACUCUGUGCCAGCCGCCGCCGUAACAC
rnacentral:rRNA from 1 species